UGGUGUUUAUACCAAAUACUGGAUCUCUUGUAUAUAACCCAGAAUACAUAGAAGAAAAUCUUACUUGCAUCCAUGGAAUAGACAUCCCUAUGAAGCUACUCUCUGAUGAAGUUGGUGGCGCUGUGGAGGAGGACCGCCGUCUCCUGGACGAGGACCGGGACCGCUCGGCAUUGUAGGUGACGUGCUUGUCAUAGCUCUCCAUCUGAGCCUCGAUGAAAUCUCUCUGCUGUUGCCUGAUGGUCUGGCUGAUGAGCCCAGGGAGGGCAUGGAUGCUCCCAAUCAGAGUCUCUAGCUUGGUCUCCACAUUUCUUUUAUCAUUUGGCCUUGGAGUGAUGUAAGAGUCUGCCCCAUCUUUGUUCAAGACAUGUCCACCUAAGAGCUGUGUGUGUAAAUUGAGAACAUUUUUGAGCCUUAUGCGUGCUCCUCACCUUCAGUACAUGAUAUAUCCUCCCCCAGGGAGUUAAGUAAUAGGAGAGGCGGCAGGUGAAUGACCCGAGUUUGCAGAACCAGAUCGGAAGCCUCCAGCAACUGGCUGACACUGAGCAGCCCUAUUUGAGUGGAAUCCCCUGAGCUCCUUGCACUUAAGUCAUCUCGUCUUGCUGCUCCUGAGACUGCCUGCACCGUAGAGCUGGCAGAAAAAAGCCUACUUCGAGCUGCAGCUGCCAGGAUAAAAGGCAGGAAAAGAUCAUGAUUUUGGAUCACAUUUCCAUAGCAGCAAUCAGACUACUGAAAUUCACAAAUAAAGGAUCCGCUUGGGUGCAUGCAGCCGGUAGAAAAUUCUGCAAAUGUUGAGGGGAGCGGCUCACACAACUUACUUCCGAGCUCUAUUUUCAUUUUGUUGAAAUAAAAAGACAAAACAAAAGAAAAGAAACUGUAAAAUAUUCUGGAACAGAAUAACACAGCGUGGUGUUCAGUUGUGCACAGGGGGCUCGAUUCAUUGGCGGAAAGAUCCUGUUAAGGUUCUGCAGAAUUUUGGCACAGUGAUCACAGCAAAACACUGUCCAAUUACAUUAGCGUCC